GACGAACGCUGGCGGCGUGCCUAAUACAUGCAAGUAGGACGCAGUUGCGAACGGGUGAGUAACGCGUAGGUAACUGCCCAUCAGAGGGGGAUAACUAUUGGAAACGAUAGCUAAUACCGCAUACUGGUAGCUGGACCUGCGUUGUAUUAGCUAGUGGGUAGGGUAAUGGCCUACCUAGGCGACGAUACAUCGCCGACCGGAGAGGGUGAUCGGCCACACUGGGACGGAGACACGGCCCAGACUCCUACGGGAGGCAGCAGUAGGGAAUCUUCGGCAAUGGGGGGAACCCUGACCGAGCAACGCCGCGUGAGUGAAGAAGGUGUUCGGAUCGUAAAGCUCUGUUGUUAAGGAAGCGGUAUCUAACCAGAAAGCCACGGCUAACUACGUGCCAGCAGCCGCGGUAAUUC
rnacentral:rRNA from 1 species